AUUGAACGCUGGCGGCAUGCUUUACACAUGCAAGUCGAACGGUAACAGGCCGCAAGGUGCUGACGAGUGGCGAACGGGUGAGUAAUGCAUCGGAACGUGCCCAGUCGUGGGGGAUAACGCAGCGAAAGCUGCGCUAAUACCGCAUACGAUCUAUGGAUGAAAGCGGGGGACCGAGAGGCCUCGCGCGCUUGGAGCGGCCGAUGUCAGAUUAGGUAGUUGGUGGGGUAAAGGCUCACCAAGCCAACGAUCUGUAGCUGGUCUGAGAGGACGACCAGCCACACUGGGACUGAGACACGGCCCAGACUCCUACGGGAGGCAGCAGUGGGGAAUUUUGGACAAUGGGCGCAAGCCUGAUCCAGCAAUGCCGCGUGCAGGAAGAAGGCCUUCGGGUUGUAAACUGCUUUUGUACGGAACGAAACGGUCCGGGUUAAUACCCUGGGCUAAUGACGGUACCGUAAGAAUAAGCACCGGCUAACUACGUGCCAGCAGCCGCUGUAACAC
rnacentral:rRNA from 1 species